AAAGGCUUCAGAGGUCAAAAUCCAUUUAUAUGCCAUCUUUUUCUGCAUUCUGGAAAAGCGUGUCUGAUCUAAUCCAUUGUUAUAUCCCUUGCUUCAACAGUGGAUCUUUAGUUUCAUGACCUGACCCUCCAGCUGUUCCAUCCCCUUCUGUAUCUGUGAAUCACUUAUGAAGCAAAGAUGGGUAGUAAUUGUACCUAUUUGUCUUUCAGGAUGCGGAACCUAUCCUUAGUCUUGUUUCUGGUCUCCUUGGUGGUCGUAAAAAGAGAGCAGUUGGUAAAAUAGUUGAUGAAGAACAAGUGAGAUUAUGAGUGUUCAAUCUGAACUGACAAUGAUACAUAAAAUGAAGAAGGCGGGG
rnacentral:lncRNA from 1 species